rnacentral:rRNA from 1 species
UACGUAGGCAGCAAGCGUUGUUCGGAAUUACUGGGCGUAAAGAGUGUGUAGGCGGUGCUCUAAGUCUGUUGUGAAAUCUCCCGGCUUAACCGGGAGGGUGCGGCGGAAACUGGAGUGCUUGAGGGUGGGAGAGGUAAGCGGAAUUCCUGGUGUAGCGGUGAAAUGCGCAGAUAUCGGGAGGAACACCAGUGGCGAAGGCGGCACUCUGGGCCGGAACUGACGCUGAGGAGCGAAAGCGUGGGGAGCGAACAGG